rnacentral:rRNA from 1 species
GACGAACGCUGGCGGCGUGCUUAACACAUGCAAGUCGAGCGGAAAGGCCCUUCGGGGUACUCGAGCGGCGAACGGGUGAGUAACACGUGAGUAACCUGCCCCAGACUUUGGGAUAACCCUCGGAAACGGGGGCUAAUACCGGAUACGACACAGCUUCGCAUGGGGUCUGUGUGGAAAGUUUUUCGGUUUGGGAUGGGCUCGCGGCCUAUCAGCUUGUUGGUGGGGUGAUGGCCUACCAAGGCGACGACGGGUAGCCGGCCUGAGAGGGCGACCGGCCACACUGGGACUGAGACACGGCCCAGACUCCUACGGGAGGCAGCAGUGGGGAAUAUUGCACAAUGGGCGGAAGCCUGAUGCAGCGACGCCGCGUGAGGGAUGACGGCCUUCGGGUUGUAAACCUCUUUCAGCAGGGACGAAGCGUAAGUGACGGUACCUGCAGAUGAAGCGCCGGCCAACUACGUG